rnacentral:misc_RNA from 1 species
AUGAAAAUUACUGGGAGCGUUUGUUUAUCAAGGCACCCAUCUUUCAUUUAUUUUAUCCUGUGCACUGUUAUCAUUUUUUGUUCAUUUAUGCUCUAAAAUUACAACGAAGUUUGAUAAAGGAUCAAGUUGUCUUCCGAGACAAGGAAAUCCUAAAACAUUAAA